rnacentral:lncRNA from 1 species
AUGGAAUAAGUGAGGGGCAAAGAUGGAAUGUUGGGUGUGGGGUUUUAGUUUUGGCGCUCUCUUUCAUUUUUCAUUUUCGUGCUCUCUGAAGGUUCUUUCAUCUCCCUUCCUCUCUUCGCCGGCCUCCUCCUCCUUGCUUUCUCAGGCGUUGUCAUUGUGAAAGGUUAUUCUCGUUGUUGGACUGUCGUUGUCGUUGUGGGUGUGUGGCGAAACCUCUUUUGUGUCGUUAUCGUCGUCGGAGCAUUCUCGUUCUCGGACCAUCACUUUAGUGGUUUGGGUUUUUCU